GUUUGUAUUAUUUAUUUGUCAAAUCUGCCUCUUUAAUUAUGCUUUAUGUUUAUAUACUUGUCGUUUUAAAGGACAACUGUCUCGAUUAGUCCCUACGGUUACUACAGUUGCCCUGCACUAUACUGUUAUUUAAUUUUCGUUUUUGUAAAUACUUCCCUUGUAACUGUUAAUAGUGCUUAAUAAAAUUUGUUGUUGUUGUUAAAAAAAUUGCAAAAUAUCGCAUGCUCAUUUAAAUUUUUUAAAAGCAAUUCAAAUAAACACAAAAGUAAACAUGGUUCGUUUUGCUGGGCUUUCAGAAGACGACUUGGCGUUAUUGUACAGAUUUGUUGAAAUUCGUGACUGCCACAAUAUUUCGAAAAUGAAUAAGUAAAUGAUAAAACAAUUAUUGAACUUGGUUAUCGCAAAAUAUCGUGAUUUGUCGGUGGCUCACAGAUCAAUUAUUUACCUCUGCCUUCGGCAUCUGCAAAUGAUUUAUCUGCUCGCCACUGACAAAUCACGAUAUUUUGCUCAAUCUCCUUGACAAAGCUGUCACUCCGUUAGUCUGGAUCAGUGCAAAUAAUGAAGAUUUACUCAAGUUACGUAUUUAAUUAAAUUAUAUAGUCGAUGGUUCCCGCAAUUUAUUUGGUUCAAUAAUACUUUAAUACUACGCUUGUAACGACAUCGAAUUUAACGGUUUAGGAAUAUUUUAAAGCCGGUUUUCCACUUGGCGGAACUUGGCGCGCGGAGUUUUUCUUUGUCUUUUCGAAUUAAUUCCACCCGGCCCAAGAAAUCACAAGACAAAGAAAAAUUCCGCUCUGCGCGCAAAAUUUCGCCAAGUGGAAAAUCGGCUUUUCAUUUAAAAUUGCGGUUAUAUGGUUAGGGAAUGAAUAUCUGGCUCACUCCUUUAAUGUUUUUGACGCUGCCAGCACCCACGCAUGUUCUUGCCAGAGUAAUGGCGGCCUAGCAAACAACUAUAAUAAAAUGUAUUGUGAAAUUGACAUCGGUGCUACUAAAUCCUGUAUUUUUAUAAUUCUGAUAAUAAACCCCCCGAAAGCGGAAAAAUACAGAAUUUAGUAGCACCGAUGUCAAUUUCACAAUGCAUUUUACUACAGUUACUUGCUAGGCCGCCAUUACUCUGGCGAGAACAUGCGUGGGUGCCAGCGACGUCAAAAACAUCAAAGGAGUGAGCCAUCUCUUCAUUCCCUAAUCUAUGCCUAUAGCGUAA